rnacentral:rRNA from 1 species
GAUGAACGCUGGCGGCGUGCUUAACACAUGCAAGUCGAACGGUGAAGGCGGAGCUUGCUCUGCUGGAUCAGUGGCGAACGGGUGAGUAACACGUGAGCAAUCUGCCCCUGACUCUGGGAUAAGCGCUGGAAACGGCGUCUAAUACUGGAUACGAGCUGCGAAGGCAUCUUCAGCAGCUGGAAAGAAUUUCGGUCAGGGAUGAGCUCGCGGCCUAUCAGCUUGUUGGUGAGGUAAUGGCUCACCAAGGCGUCGACGGGUAGCCGGCCUGAGAGGGUGACCGGCCACACUGGGACUGAGACACGGCCCAGACUCCUACGGGAGGCAGCAGUGGGGGAUAUUGCACAAUGGGCGAAAGCCUGAUGCAGCAACGCCGCGUGAGGGACGACGGCCUUCGGGUUGUAAACCUCUUUUAGCAGGGAAGAAGCGAAAGUGACGGUACCUGCAGAAAAAGCGCCGGCUAACUACGUG